rnacentral:lncRNA from 1 species
UAUAUUUUUGGAUUUAUUUGCUAUAUUUAUUUAAUUAAUUGCAUUUCAAGAAAAUUUUUGGUAUAAGUCAAAUUUGAACUGCAAGUGAUUCAAAUUAUGGAACAAAAUGAGUAGAAAAAUGAUAUUCAUGUUAUUUGGCCCAUUUUGAGACCUGACCCAUGAAAUGAAAAGAAAUUUUGAACAUCUUGUUCAGGAAACACGACCAUGAACGUGUGGCAGUAGUAUUUUUAAAUUGUAAAAAAAACAAGCAAAGUCUGAAAAUCAUGAGAUUUGUCAUGAUGUGAUGAUAUAGUAUGUGGAGGCUGUGGAAAAAAAUUGAGAAGGUUUUGCACAUUUCAUCACGUACAAUGAUUACAAACCGAAGUAUCUCGGAAGAAGAAUACUAACUUUGAGAGGAUUCCAUAAAAUUUAGAGUCGAAGUGACGGUCAAGUUUGGUUUGACUACCAAACUUUUUGUAUAGUCAAUAGAGAACAUAUAUUGGUUCGUGUGAAAAUUUGGUAUUUUUUUGAAACUGUUGGAUAUUUUUUAAUUUUUUUCCAAAAAA